CUUAAAGUCAUCAUAGUUCAGAAACUUUGUCACCUUCUGAAGGAAACCACAAAGUGCAUGAGAGGUUGGGGGCGUGAGGCUUGAAAGUCUAUGCGUCUCUCUACUCUCCACAUCCCAUUUUGUGGCUGGUGCUCCUCUGGUGUGCUGUUAUGAACUCAAACGAUGCAGUUAAGACAAAACACGUUGUUGUUGGUACUGCAGUGGUGUGUACUUGUCUGCAGUGACCGGCUGCAGGAUGGAGACAUACAAGAGCAUCGCCUGCCCUGUGUCUCCAAUGAAACUACUGUUACAUGCAGCUUGUCUGAAGAGGCCCUAAAAGGGUUUCAGACAGUAAGGCUGGAGGUCCUGGUAGGACAGGUCGCUGAAAUUCACUUUACACCUUUGGGAAACAGUUCUGGAAAUUCUACUCCAUGCUUCUGGGCACAAAGGGAAACUGUGAGUAUGCUUCCAUUCCAGCACUUUACAAGAGACAUGGGUGGAGUGUACCCUGCUGUGUGUAGCAGUGGUAGUUCCAACCACUCUGUGAACAUCUCAGUCCACAUAAUCUCACCAAACAGUGAGUUAAACAAGACCUUCUUUACACAUAAAACUUAAAAUCACAUCUCAGAUCAGACCAGUAAAGUAAAAGUUAAUUUGAUCAUGUGUUAAAAUCUUAAAUAUCUAAUGUUACAUUUUCUUCAUUUUUAGAGGGUCCAACGAUUCCACGGAUACAAAUUAUUGAGAAACAAUUUCACACAGUUGACUUUAAAUGUGUUUCAAAGGGAAAUCCAAAACCAACAAUUAAAUGGUAUUCAGGAGACAAAUAUAUCAAGUAAGUUUUAAACACAGCCUCCAAUUUGAUGAAAUAUAAAGUUAUAGCAUGGAUCUGUGGAUA
rnacentral:lncRNA from 1 species